GGGUUUUCUCUGUUGUUUGAAGGCCGAUCUUCUCCGGUCGCGAAGUAGGAGGGUAACUCUGUCCUUAUCUUGAGUGUUGUAUGCUUUGUGUGUGAUUAUCUGACUCCGUAUGAGAGUAUCUGGUUUUGUGUGUGAAUAUCUGGUUUGGUUAUACUCUGUUUGUUGAAACUGUUUUUUUUAAGCCGGUUCAUUGAUUAUGGCUUCUAAUACAAAUGCUGGUACCUCCUCCUCGGUAGACUCUUCUAGCCCCCUUUUUGUAUAUUCCUCUGAUGUCCCUGGGGUCUCUCUUGUUCUCACUCCCUUCUCGGGUAGUGGUUAUGGGGGCUGGAGGCGUAAGAUGAUUGUU
rnacentral:lncRNA from 1 species